UCAAGAAUAUAUUUAUCUUGUAAUAUAUAUCGGUUAUUUAGUAAAUAUUUCCAAAUACGGUGUACGGAGCGCACGAGCAGUUAGACAAUUACCCAUUGCCGCGCCAAACCAUCCUCAUAACCUCAUUUUUGCAGCGUUUAUUUUUUGUAGGUUUAAAAUUCGUAUACAAAAUUUUAGUUAAUCCUAUUGUGAAAUAUCAAAAUACUGACCGAGUUUUAAGUGUGUGUGUGUUUAUAAAGUACGAGUGCUUAUACAUCGGAGAAGGUAAGUUCGUAUUUCUGUUCAUGUGCCCACAUUGUGAAAUUAUAAUUUAAAGAUCAUGUCUUAUUCUCAUCGCGUUCGACAUAAUAAAAAGUACCGUUACAUUCAAAAGCAGCUACUUAAAGGUUCCACCGAGCCGAGGGUUCCACUGCACCUGUAGAAAGUGAUAAAGACGUAGCCAUUGCCGAGACCAUUGCUUUAUCGAGGAAUUCUGAAUGGGAGGAUGAAUGUGCCUCAACCUAUAACCUUGACAUGCCAUCAAGUAGCUAAUACUUUACCGUUGCCAACAAGUGGGCAUACUACGCCAACCUCUACACAACCAAACAAUAUUAACACUGACGGUACUAGAAAGAGACAUGCUAAUGCAACAGAGCAAGAAAUCAAGAAGACUGUAUCAUUAUAUUUGGCACAAAGUAAAAGUCGUAUAAAAAUGAAGGAAAGCAUUUUCAAAUCCAAUGAUGUUUCUGCGGUGGAAGAUUUGUGAAUAAUUUAAUUUUUAAUCAAAUUAAUCGAGAAUGUGCCAUAAAAUAUAAUAGUAUUUACUUUGUAAAUAUCGUUAAUCAAGU